AAUUUUCUAUCAAACUAUUAUCAAUUUUUUUUAAAAAAAAAAUCAGUUUGUGACAGAUAUUUUAUUAUUAGAAAUCCAUACAAUUUAAAUAAUGUUACAUUUAUAUGUAUUUAUGUAUAAAAUGGACUUCAUAAUUUGGGAUUUUGUAAAAAAAGGGUCUAAAGUUAAUUUGGUUAAUUUUUUUUUUCUGUAACAAAAGUUAAUUGGAUUUAUAAUUUUCUUUUCUGAAUGGGUUGUAUCAGUUAAAUUAUCUUUUAAAGUUAAAUGCCCAAAGCCCAAUUAAUAAUAUUUAUUUUGCUGAUAACAAAGUGAGAUUAAAUAGGAAUAACAUAUAAUAUAUAAAGAAGACCAGAAAAAAAAAAGGUCCAAACAACCUUUAUAAGUAGAUUUAUCAAGACUGCUUAUAAUAUUUAACCAAUUAAAUGCCCAUAAUUAAUAUUACACAUAUUGAACCAAUAGUAUUUAAUACAUAUGAAAUUAUUUAUAAAAUCAAUGCAUUUAUAAUUAAUAUUAAACUGAAAAUUGCAUUAAAAUCUUAAAAUGACAUUUUUUGUAUCAAGAAAAAUGUAAAAUAACACUCUUUUAGAAAUAGAGGGAGUAUUAAGUACAUAAAAGUGUACUAAAUAUUUGUUUUUCGUCAAAAUGAAUUUUAUUAAUAUUAGUGUGGAGAAGGUGUUAAAAAAACAAGUGUAAAGAAGUUACAUAAAAUAUAACAAAAAAGUUAUGAACAACACUGGCCGUAAGUUAAUUAACAAAUCAAUUGUUAAAUAAAAAUAUUCUCUUAUAUAAUAAAGCGCAAGUCGUCUAGCAAAUGAAAAUUAAACAUUUAGCAAAAAAAAAUUGAAUUUUUCUUUUCAUCUUCCUUUUUUUCUGGGGUCAAAAUAUGUCACAACCAACUUCCUUAUUUUUCUCAAAAUAAAUUAGGGGUGAAACUUGAGCAGAUUCUAAAUCAUUAGUUCAAAAUAAAUCAGCAUAUCCCUAAUUUUAACCUAAAAUUUUCAGCAGAUCCUAAAUUAAUGCAACACUAGAAUUAUUUACGUUAGUUUAUAUAUUUGAUAUGUUUUCUUCAUCUCAAAGGCAACACUAAUUUUCUUUUCUUCUUUUUGGUAUAAAUUAAAAUCCUUACUAUUUCUCAUACACCAUGAUCUCGGCACGUUCUUAAAACAGUUAUUUUUCUUUGAUAUAAGAGAGUUUUUUUUUUUUUUUGAUAACUCUGGUAUCUGGGCAGCCUCAUUCCCAACUAUUCCCCGAAAAAGGUCCAGCGCCCCAACGGAAGGGAUGUUAAAUCCGUUGUGGCCAAGACUCGAAUCCGGGUGGCGGGCAGUACAGAUGUACCUCCUUUACCACCAAGCUACGAGCUCUUGGUUAAUAUAAGAGAGUUUACUCAACGAUGCUAUAAAAAUCAUCUCUAAUGCAUUUUCCUAAAUUAUUUGAAAUGGUUCCACUGAUUUUCUCUUUCUGAAAGUCUGAUGAAAUGUCAGUUUUAACAUAGAUCGAUAAAUUCUGAGCUCUAGCGAUCGUAUCAACACUCCGGAGUCUACAAUUCUAUUAUCUUGGUAAACAGUUGCAUGACAAUAGUCUCAGUGAGAUUUUUGUUUCACUCAAGAAGAAAAAGAAAAACGAAAUUUCUGCUGCAAAGCUUCCUACGAAAUUGACAAAUGAAAAUUAAGUUUCUUGACAGUAAGACUCAAAACACUCGAAGUCUUUAUGACUCAAAUGUCAACCAUACAAGGUAUUUACGUUUUCUUUGUUCUCUUUUUCUUUUCUCAAAUGUUUUAAGACAUUUUUAAUUUUUUUUCUUUUAUAGAUCUUUUAUCUUCCUUUGUUUUCUUUAAACCAAUUUAUCUUCCUUUGUUGUUUUGCAAAGGAUAGACUACGCAAUGCCUAUCACAGUUCACAAUAACACUAAAGACCAUCAAAAGGCACAUGUUACGUACUUCUCUGCAGUAAAAAGUACUAUGUUUCGGGUGUUAAGAAAAAGGGUAUUAUGUUUCGAAAAUGGACUAAUUUGGUUUUCAAUUUGCUGAACAUGAUUAUUUUUUGUGUGGUGGUAGCAAUUCAAGUAAAUAAAGUAAGAAGUUCACCUGACGCACACAUACAAGACCGAGUUCAAUUUGAGACUUGAGUGGUAGAAGAACGAAAAGGACUCAUGUCUACUUUUAUAUCAAGACCUAAUUUAAGUGACAUCUUUUCUACCGUUGGUCCCAGCGCCAGGCAUGUGGGGGUAUGCAUAACAUUGGUAUGAGGUCCACAAAUUUGUGAGGCCCAUAAUUUUAAAAAAUCAAUUAAAAGUUUUUUUUUUGCUUACUUUUUAUUUUUUUUAUUAAAAAUAUUAAUACAUUAAAUUAAAAGUUUUUAUGUAAGAAAAACUAACAUAUUAAUUAAUGUAACAUUUAAAUGUAUAAAUAUAUACAUUUCAAUUGGUUAUGUUUUUAUGAAAUGUAAAUAUUAUAAUAAAUAAAAUUUAAUAUAAUUAUUUAAUGUAUAUUAUUAUAUUAAAAAAAAUUUGUAUGCGUCUCCAAAAUCUCAGAACCGGCACUGGCGGACCCCAAGCUAUUCACUGAUCCUUUACGGUGUAGUGUUUAUGCCAUCACCAGAUUCACCGCUACGUACAGAUUUAUCUCCUCCGGCAACUGCAUCUGAAGCUUUUCUCCGGUUAAAUGUUUGAAUUGACGUUUGUACACCUUUCUUUUGUGGAUUGAUCAUUAUAUCCUUGAUCCAACAAACCAUAUAGCAUAAUCUAAGAGCAGGAUUAUCCCUGUCUCUUAGAUGGGUCUCUUAACCUAUUUAGGAUUUUAAAAAAAAUGAAAAAUAGAAAUAAACCUUACAGACGUCUCCUAAUUAAGAGAAAGAAGAAACGUAUCUUGUUUCGUCUUCUGCUUACCGGAAAAGAGGAAGGGGAGUUGAUUACUCUGUAAGAGCCAUUGUCUACGUCAAUCUGAAGAACAAAAAUAAUAAUCUGAUUGAUUUCUUUCUAAAUCUGAAUCUAACACUCUCUGAAUCUUCAAAAAAUCGAAUCAUUGCAGAUGGAUUAAGCUUGUCGUGAAACUUCCGAUGUUGCAUUCGGUGACGGUUCCGACAGGAAAGCUAAUCAGAGACGAAGAGCUCGGAGCGAUAUCAGACGACGACGACGAUUUCCCCUGUGGAAAGCGAUCAAAGCUCGACCGGUUCCCUCUCAGCGUCUUCCUCGUCUUCUCCUCUGGUCUCUUCUGCAUCUACAUCACCAUGCCCGCUGCAGAAUCCGGAAAGCUCAAGCUUCCCAAGAAGCAUCUCUGAUCUCCACUCGCUCAAGUAACUGUUAAAAACUCAAACUUUAUUAUAGCAGUAAUCGAUAUAUUGAUCAAUGCUGAGCUUCUUUGAGGUUGAUUAAAGGUUUCCUUCACGUACCUGCUCAUGAAUUUAUCAUUGCUGAUCUGUUUUUAAUGGUUUUGGAUAGGUGUUUGAAAAGCUCUUCGAGGCAUUUGAGAACUACAUUAUGGAUAUACACAAAACAAAAGUUUCGCAGGUAGGCUACACAGCUAUAAAUCACGGCCCUUACAUGACAUGUCUCAUGUUUUAGACUCACUUUUUGCAAUUCAUCUGCAGUUUCUGAUGUUCUAUGCAUGUUCACUCGAUCCUGAAAACUGUGGUGUGAAAUUUGCGGUUAAGCUGAUGGACAUUGGUAUAUACUGCUUUCAAUCCCAAGCUCUACCAGACACAAUAUUAUACACUAAUCAUUUGCUUAGAUCAUGUUCUGUGAACACAGGCGAUCAUGUAUGUGCUCUGCUUCCGGAUGACAUCCAUCCUAGCUGUUCCUCGCUUUCGGUCUGAGCUUAUACCAUUGGAGUCAAUUUUAAUGCACAAAGUAAACCCGUUAAAAGUGAGUUAUAUUGUUUUUCCACCGAAACUCAACUGUUAAGUAUCAAACGCAUAAUAAGCUUUGCAACCGAUUUUGUUUUUGAGAAUAGGAAUGACUUCCAUUGAUACAAUAAUCAAAAUGUUUAAUUUUUUUUUAAGAGACUCCCAUUGUAGCACAAAAAUAUUGAUGUUUCUUAACUAGGUCUCUUAAGUAACAUUUAACAUUUAAAAAUUAUUAAGAGACCCAAAGUGGGGUUUUGGGUUAAUGAUGCUCUAAACACAACACUAAAUAAGUCAAAACUAUCAUGCGCAUAUAUUUCCGACGCAUGGCGCGUCAAGAAAACGCAAGCUGACAACAUAGAGUAAUUUUGGUUUUUGGUUUUGAUCUAAGUGCCACUACUCCGACUGCACCGAACUGGCUUUCAGUAAAUUGAUAAGAAACAUCCCACAUCAGAAAUAUAAGAAUUAAUUUAUUAUUAUAUAAAGGGUUAGGACCAAUUCAUUCAUUGUCAAUUGGUUUUAAAUUAGAAACCCAAGAAACUUAUCAUGGUAUCAGAGCCGGCCCAAUACCCUAACCCAUUAAUUCGGUCCGGACAGUGGCCUGAUCAUCUCAUUAGCUGAUGGCCCAUAGAAGGCUCAGUUCCACCGAAAUUGCUAGAAAAAAAAAGGAUGAUUUCGGAGGGGGUAUGAUAGAUUUUUUUUUUUUGUCGGGGAUUUAUUUAGAUAUUACAAUUAUGAGAAAGAUUACAAAGACGAUUCGAUUACCGACAAUACUACCUGCCUUAUGAGGAUCUACGCCUAACUGCCUCAUUUGAGCCGUCCUAUGAAGAUCACGCCUGACUGGAUUUACUUGCACCAUGUUGAGAAACUCUUGUAAGCCUUUCUUCCGUAAUCGCAUAAUUGUUGAAUAAAUCGCUUGCUCCGGGAAUUGAAACCUGGAUUUCCUGUGCAAUCUGCAAGAAAUUGCAUAGUCUGGGAUUUGAACCCCAGACCUGGGUGUAGAAGCCUUUAAACCAUAACCACUAGGCUACGGUGCUUCCACAUCGAAAAUUGCAUAGUCUGGGAUUACGGAGGGGGUAUGAUAGAUUAUGCGAGAUUAAUGGUUAUACGCACCAUUAUCUCGAGGGAGGGUAUUGGAGAGAAGAUCUCACAUCGAAAAUAUAAAAGAGACUUGAAUAAUAUAUAAGGGACUUGGACCAAUCCACUAAUUACCAAUUGGUUUUAAGUUGAAAGCCCAUAAUUGGCCGAUAAGAGCUAUCAUCUCGAAGAGGGGUAUUAAGGGAUAUGUAUCCCACAUUGGAAAAGUAAUGGGACAUUAAAUAAUAUAUAAAGAGUUAGAGUCAAUCCACUAAUCGCCAAUUGGUUUUAAGUUGGAAGCCCAAAAAACUUAUCAUGAUAUCAUAGCGAUAAGAUCCUUUGACCUAAUUUACUACAACAACUACUACUAUACUGAUGUUGGGCCUUCUGUGAAUGUUAUUCCCACAUUGUUCACGCUUCAGACCUAGAUGUCUGAGCGUGAGGGAGGGUAUUGAUGAGAAACAUCCCACAUCGGAAAUAUAAGAAUUAAUUAACUACUAUAUAAAGGGUUAGAGCCGAUCCACUCAUUGUCAAUUGAUUUUAAAUUGGAAGUCCAAAAAACUUAUCAGGUUACAUCUCUCACGAGUUCCUCACGUGCAAGACCAUGUUGGGCAGGAAACUAUAUGCUUGAUGGGCUGAAGUUGGCCACUGGACUCGCCGUCUCCGCAGAACAGGGAAGUGAAGAAGGCUCGCUAGAGCUACUGUGUGGCAAGUGUGUUAAAAAAAACGGGACACAUGUCCCUAGUGUUGUUAACCCGACCCAACUUACCAAAUGGAUCCAGAUGUUCAGAAUUGUGUUAUGCGCAACACGUGCGUCUGGUCUGCACUUAGCAAAUUGGAAAAAAAAUUGAAGAUUAACCAGAGAUUUAUUUUAUACAGUUUUACUAUAUAUAUAUUAUUAUUUGUAUGGAGAAAAUUAAGAUAUGGCAUAGUCUAGCGGGUUUGAGUAAGCGUAUAUGCUUAUAGAGGCCAUGGGUUCGACCUAUGCAGCAGUUGGUUUGGCUAUUUUAUUCCUUUUUUCUUUAAUGAACAUGAAAAUAAUGUUGUCUUUUUAGGUCAGAAACCUUAAUUCUUCGUAUCUGAUUUUUACGUGAUUCUUGGCCGUUUUGAUCUUGAACUUAGCACAUGAUUUUAAGCUUCUAACUUAGGAAAAGGUUGAUUUUUGGUAUGAAAUCUGAUUUCUUGGAUGAUUUAGUGCAAAACACCACGGUUCCUUGCCGGUUAGCGUUUAAACGUCUAGUAAACGUCCAAAUCGGCCGUGUUUUAGAAACUUGUGUUGAUAAGUCUUUUUCAAUCUUUAUGAUCUUUGAACAUGUCAGUAUUAAAAAUGAUUAGACUUGUGUUUAUUGUUUUGUCAUUCUGUAAUUGAUGGUUAAGGUAGCUAAGCUUAAUUACUAUGUACAAUGACAUUACAUGGCCUCAUGAGUAAGCAUUGACUUGGAUCUAGACUGAAGAUCAUGAAGACUACUAUAUAUAUAUAUUCUGCAGACGUGUGUGGUACGCAAACCAAAAUGUAAUGUGGACAAAGAAACAUCUUGUUGUGUAGACUCCAAUUAAACAUAACAUUCUAUUAGUAAAUGGCAAUUAUUAAAUUUUCAUAAUCAUAGACAUCCAAGAUCCCAUGUUGACGUCCAAAUACUAAAAAUAGUAAGUACAUUGAAAUAGCAUUUCCCCCUUUUGAUAUUAUACCUUUCACUUAAUGGAGAAUUAAACUGUACAGACGAUCACUAUGAGAUGGUCUUAUUAACCGUUGGAACGUUUUCUCCCGAUUGUGCUCCCAAGUUUUGAACUUCACCUGAAGAUUGCAAACAUCGGUUUGGAUUUAGGCCAGAUGAAGAACCAACUGAAAACACUUCACCAACACCAAUAUGAAGGCUUAGACGAACCAUUCAUUAAAAAGAAGAAAAAGGAAGGAUAGACGAACCAAUCAAAUUUUGUCAGAUCACCAUCAAAUUAUCAUUAUAGCGACCAAAUCAAUAACACAUUUUUUUUUAAUAUUACAUUCCUUUUCAUGCAACUGAAACUCGCCAGAGUAAACGUAUAUAACUUUAGAGAGAAAUAAACCGAGUGUUUUUAACUUUCCUAGGAAUGAAAGCCUAACAAUUUAGCAUAUUUUCUCAAGCAUAUUUCAUAUUGUUCUAACCAAGACAUGUUACUCUUAUAACAUGACUAAGGGGGCGACUGGUUUUCCCGCUACCAUCCGCAAACGCAGCUUUUGCGGUUGGUAGCGGUUGUCAGCGGUUUGCAACAAUCACUCAAAUCGUUCUAAACCGCUUCGAAUCUCAUAAAUCCAAAACCUGGCUCCAGCUAGCGUUUGCGGUUGCGGGCGGUUGCGAGAGGGUAAAAUUUUUUUUUUUUUUAAACAAUAUAUAUACAAAAGUAAAAAUAUUUAAUAAAAAAUUUAAAAUUGAAAUUAUGAAAAUAUUAAAAUAUAUCUAUUAUAUUUUAAUUAAUAUUAUAAAAUUUUAUAAUAAAAAAACAAUUUCAAGAAAUUUUCAAAAAUUAAAAUUAUA